GACGAACCGUGCGAACGUUGUUCGGAAUCACUGGGCUUAAAGGGCGCGUAGGCGGCUUGUCAAGUCCGGGGUGAAAUCCUCCAGCUUAACUGGAGAAGUGCCUUGGAUACUGGCGAGCUCGAGUGAGGUAGGGGCAGUUGGAACUUCCGGUGGAGCGGUGAAAUGCGUUGAUAUCGGAAGGAACGCCGGUGGCGAAAGCGAACUGCUGGACCUCUUCUGACGCUGAGGCGCGAAAGCUAGGGGAGCGAAUGGG
rnacentral:rRNA from 1 species